CAGGAAAGGGGGAAGGGAGAGGAAGAGCAAAAGUAAAAUUAAUGAGACAUGAUUAUUUGAGGAAUUAAUCUGCCCUAUGAAAGUAUGCUAUAUUUGGAUUAAAGGUGGAAGAAAAGGAGCAGCUAGUCCAAGUCUCAGGCCUAGAUGCAUAAAAGAGCAGAUCUCCAUCUUCCCUUAGGCUCAGAGGAAAAGGGAAUCUUAUUUGUGUAGUUUAAGAGGUGAUAAUCCUCCUUUUUUUUUUUAAAUCAUGCAUUUUACUGUCAUGUACUCCGCUGAAGUUUUCUUUUGGAAAAAAAAAAAUAAAUGCUUCAUUAUCACAUGGCAGAGAUGGAAUCCUGGAAUCUGCUGGCUAUGUCAACAUAGAACAAGGUCCUUGUCAUCCAAAAGGGCUUCUAAUGAUAUCAAUAGAGUCGAAUUCAUCUGGUCAAGUUUGGAGAUUUCAACAGCUAUCAAAUCAGAAUUAUCAUAGAUGUAGACAUAUAUGAGACUUUGGGGAUCAUCUAACAGAAGUAUCAAACUGGCUUCCUUCACACUCCACAGUACAACUGAAUUAGAUGAGAAAUUUCUAACCAAAGUAAAAAUGUAAUAGAACAUAGAUAAUGUUAAUAUACGGUCUCCUAAGUCAAUAAACAGCUAGUAGAGAUCCAUUUAAUGGCUUUAUUUCUAGUUGAGUUUAACCUUACUGAUCUAAGCUUCAUUUUCCUAAUGGGAAAACUAAGUCUCAGAGCCUCAUGCAAAAUCAAAAAGGAAAUAGGUAACAGCACUAAGAUUUGAACCCAGAUCAUCCUCCACCAAAAUCGGCAGGCAUUCUUUCCGCUGCUCCGUGGUGCUCUAAAGUGUUUUAUUCUCAUGAGGAAUUGGCAUGAGGUUUGGCAACAAGACCACCUCAAAUUCUGGCUCUAAUCGGACACUAACCAGCUAAGUGACCUUGAACAAGUGCUUAACCACACCGCCUCUAGCAAUGUCCUAGAGCUUGUGAACUCAGUCAUGUACUGGUUGGGAGUUCCCACAAAAGGGAUUCCCUAGAUUGAGGAAUCACUUAGUUGUAUUAAAAACCCAUGAAAUAGGUUCUUAAGGCAGGGAGGGACUAGUUGAAGUGUUGAUGUUUUGUGUAUGUGUGGUAUCCAUAGAGACACUGUUACCCUGGAGAGUGCUGGGGAAGGCACCUGUGGUCAGUUGUCACUCUGGAGAAGUGGGUGGAGGAGAUAGGUUAAUGUGGCAGGCUCUGGACACCAGAACAUCAACAGCUGGAACUAAAGAAGAGGAACCAGAAGCAAAGGAGGAUUGCUGGGAAAGCCACAGAGAAUCCAUUGGCAUUCCAUGGAGGUCUGGAAAAGGAAGGGCAUACACAGCUCCUAUGCAACCUUCUCUGGGGAACCCUCACGGAAUGUUGUCCCUGACUCAGCCAGAAGUGAUGAUUCUAUCCCUCCUCAGAAGAAAGAGGGAGGAAGCCGGGCAGGUAGGAGCAAGAAGUCUGCAGGUCCCAAAAAGCACAAUGGAAGAAGCCAAAGUCUUAAAAGGAGAACUUCAGCAAAAAGGGAGGAUGAAUUCCCAGCCACAGACCUGGAUUUGGCCUGGAAAUCCUUCCUUUGUGUGGUCUCCUCUCUCCUGGGGAUCAAGAUCCACUGGACACAAACCAGGAUUAAUGGAGUCCAGACCUGUUCUAUGGUUCCUACAUGUGCACAAGCCUAGGAGCCAGGCUCUCAGCAGAUAGAUCACACGGACACAAGUUCCCCCUAGUUGGGGAGUUAGGGAGAUACCAGACUCUUCAAUUGAAAUAUAACAAUUAAACGGCCUGACCACAAAUCAAACAGCUUUUUAGUGGCAGACCUAGGACUAAAUCUCAAGCCUCCUGACUCUUGGUCCUCUGGCAAGCCUUUGUUGCCUAUACCAAACUGCAGAACAUCUCCCACUUCCCAGCUCUCACAUCACUUGUUCUCUGUUACUCUUAUUGAGCAGUUAGCACAUUAAUAACUCACACUUCUUUGCGUGAGCCUGGGCAAUUUACUUAAUCCUAUUUACCUCAAUUUCUUCAUCUGUAAAAAUGAUCUGGAGACGGAAAAAGAAAACCACUCUAGCAGCCCUGGGUCUAGCCUUUGUUGUCUUCU